rnacentral:rRNA from 1 species
UACGUAGGGUGCAAGCGUUGUCCGGAAUUAUUGGGCGUAAAGAGCUCGUAGGCGGUUUGUCGCGUCUGGUGUGAAAUCUCAAGGCUCAACCUUGAGCUUGCAUUGGGUACGGCCAGACUAGAGUGUGGUAGGGGUGACUGGAAUUCCUGGUGUAGCGGUGGAAUGCGCAGAUAUCAGGAGGAACACCGAUGGCGAAGGCAGGUCACUGGGCCACUACUGACGCUGAGGUGCGAAAGCGUGGGGAGCGAACAGG